UGGGGAAUUUUGGACAAUGGGCGCAAGCCUGAUCCAGCAAUGCCGCGUGCAGGAUGAAGGCCUUCGGGUUGUAAACUGCUUUUGUACGGAACGAAAAAGCUCUCUCUAAUACAGGGGGUGAAUGACGGUACCGUAAGAAUAAGCACCGGCUAACUACGUGCCAGCAGCCGCGGUAAUACGUAGGGUGCAAGCGUUAAUCGGAAUUACUGGGCGUAAAGCGUGCGCAGGCGGUUUUGUAAGACAGAGGUGAAAUCCCCGGGCUCAACCUGGGAACUGCCUUUGUGACUGCAAAGCUGGAGUGCGGCAGAGGGGGAUGGAAUUCCGCGUGUAGCAGUGAAAUGCGUAGAUAUGCGGAGGAACACCGAUGGCGAAGGCAGCCCCCUGGGCCGACACUGACGCUCAGGCACGAAAGCGUGGGGAGCAAACA
rnacentral:rRNA from 1 species